AACAAAAUCAGCCUAUAGGGAUGCUUAUAUGAGGACUAUUUUAGGUUAAGAGUCCUAUUUUAUAUUUAAUGGGACUCUCCUUUAAAAAUGUCUUAUCCAAUCUACUUCCUACAAUGAAUUAGGCGUAACUAUCUCCGCGCUAUAAGCUAAAAGUUGAAAAGAAUACAAAGACAUCUGUAGUCUAUAAUUUUUUUUGAAUUUAUUUAAUAAAAAAUUAAAUUGCCUUAAUUCAUAAAUUGGAAAAAAAAAAGUAAAAAAUGGGAAAAAUUGUUCUAACUUUCUAUUUGUUCAUUUUUUUCCCCAAAUGCCAAAGAAAAGCCCUUGAGGAGAAUUCCCCAAAUCCAUAGCGAGAAAGCUUUCAUCUUGGAUGCUUUGAGGAGAAGAUUCGUGUUGAAUGAUAAGCCGAAAAGCAAACCCCGGAGGAAUGUGAAGAUAGCGAAAGCCGGUGGAGCUAAGGAGGUGAAGAUCUCUAAAGCUGAGACCGAUCCCGCCAUUGAUUUGGACGGGAAAUCUGAUGAUCCGCAGAUGUGUGGAGCUUACGCUUCUGAUAUAUAUGAAUAUUUUCACACUAUGGAGAUAGAGGCUAAGAGAAGGCCAUUGUCGAAUUACUUGAAGAAAAUUCAGAAAGAUGUAACUGCAAACAUGAGAGGGGUUUUGAUAGAUUGGUUGGUUGAGGUGGCUGAGGAGUACAUGCUUCUUCUGGAUACAUUGUAUCUAACAGUUUCUGACAUUGACAAAUUGCUGUCGUGCAAUGCUCUUAACAGGCAAAAGCGUCAGCUACUUGGUGUUUCCUCAAUGGAUAUGCCCCACUGCUCCAACUCGGGCCGUUGCUAUACUCUGUAACUUGUAAUUGUAGUUUUUGUACUCUGUAACUUUUACCCUUAAAAGACAACUCUUGUUUUUCUUUUCCAGCUUCAAUGAAGUGGUAACGUCUGUAGUUCACAGGGUGUUUUUGCCUGAAAAGAAAUGCUUCUAAGAAAAUUAGGACUUCGUUUCUAAAUCUACCGCAAAUUUUGAGUGUGCAGGUUAAUCUCUGUCAUGGACCCGACUAGAAGUUGGGCCACCCGUUGGCUGCGCACUGAUAAAGAACUUGGAUCCUUUGUCAAGGCAUGCUAUUGCUGCUGCCCACUGCCCACUCCAAAUCUUUAAGACAAUCGUGACAAGAUUUCUGGUUAAUGUCGAAUCAAAGCUUUUAUCUUUUCAAACUGAAGGUAUCAAUUGGACCAUGCUACGAAGAUCAAGAGCACCCCCGAAGUUGAGAAGUACUAUGCCAUAGCUGUAUCUACAACACGGCUGCAUUGGGACAACUUCUAUUCUUUCAUGUAGUACUUAUCAGGAAGAUGAAUGAAAUGCAUCUGAUUGGUCAAACUAGUGAACUCACAUGCAUGCUCGAAGAAAUCUCAUGAGGGAAAUGAAGAGCAAUUUGAGCAACUCAUUAAGAUGGUCGAGUUGAGGCUAGGGGAGUGCAUUCUGAGGCUAGAGAAGCAGUUGGCCGAGGCGAGGGUUGCUCGGUUGGGUAGAGUUGAAGACAUGUUAACGAUUCUUUAUGCUUGUUUUAAAUUUUUGUACACACAAGAGUGGUGGAGUUGUGUUUCAUAAGUUCUUGAAUUUUGUUGUUUUGCAACGAACUCGGAUGGAAUAUAUACAUGAUUAUAUGGUUACAAUUAA